GUCAUGGCUCAGGACGAACGCUGGCGGCGUGCUCAACACAUGCAAGUCGAACGAGAAUCUGUGGAACGAGGAUUCGUCCAAGUGAAGCAGAGGACAGUGGCGGACGGGUGAGUAACGCGUGAGGAACCUGCCUUUCAGAGGGGGACGAACAGUUGGAACGACUGCUAAUACCGCAUAACACAUGGGUGUCGCAUGGCACUGAUGUCAAAGAUUUAU
rnacentral:rRNA from 1 species